UCAGUGUAAGCACCUGCAAAUCACCUCCUACUCACUUGAGAGAAGAAAUCCUUUCCAGUCAAAAUCACUGCAUUUACCUUUUUCAGUUCAGAAAGAUGAUUCCAGCUCUCUACAUGCCAACAAUGGCAGCUGGAGCAAGAACCCGGUUUGGAAUCAUGCUGUUGUCACAAACAAGAAUACAGUGGUGUGCUUUGCCAAAGCACCCACCUGCAACAUUCCUUUUUUCUUUCAUAGAUCUACUUUUCAUUCAUGGGAAACCCUGUUCCUCCACAUCAUACAUUGCUUGGGCUCCUUGGGCAUGCAAACUUUCAAGUGGGCUCUGCUAAGGAAUAAGGAGGAGGCAUCACAGCAUGUAACCUCAACGCACCAUUGGGAUUGUAGAAAGGAGCUGAACUGGGAAUGGAACCUUUCUUUCCGUCUCUGAUGUUUAAAUGUUCCUUGUCAUCUUCUAAAACAGCUUAUCUGAGCCAAAAUGCUGAGAACAGUUUGUAAAAUGUUGUCCUUUUGAAAUAGAGCCCUGAACUUUCCUCCUACUCAUAUCCACACCUAAUCUUAUCCCAAGCAACAGCUUCAGCUACUUUGCAGCCCAGACUCCUUCUCAAGUCUUUCCCUGACAUUAAGGGAUUUCUUGUUGUUGUACCACUGUGCAUCUAAAACAGCUGUGAUGUGACCUGGUAAAUGAAAACACAGUGAAUGGCAUGCUAAUAUUAUUAGUCUAUUUCUUGUUUCUUCGCUGAGGAAAUUUGCAUAAUUAACCCCCAGAGGUUCUUAUUUAUCAGCAUAACAUUUGUUUCGCUUGCCAUUGCAUUCCAAAUAUUGCUUUGCCCUGGAGACCUGUUGUGCUAGCACAGAGCUUCAGAGAAAGAUUUCUAUUCCACAUGCCAAAUGUUGCUAUUAUCCCUACUAGAAUAAUAGGGGAAGGAUUUUGGCUCUAGAUACAUGGAAUUUUAUGAAGAGGCAAUCUGUGCUUUUACACAGAGGGUCCCACAAACAACCCUGGAUUAUUUCUUGAGGUGGUGCUCAGAAGAGGGUUGAUUCCAAUGCAAGAGGGGUGAUUCCCCAUCAGUCUCUUCCCAACAAUCCCAGUAUACUGUUUUGGUAGGAGCCUUGUGUCUCUGGGCAGCCCACUGAUGAGGCAACUUCAUAUGAAAAAGAAGUUCCUGCCCUAAAUAUUGCUUCGAAAGCCAUCCAACAUGGUGUUUCACGGCAAGGAAGGAGAGGUACAUUGUCCCUUUUUUUCCGAUUACAUCACACUGUGUGCCCACUUGAGACAGGUAAUACAUUUUGGUCUUUCUGUGACGUUGAGUGCCUGCUGCAUAAUUUACAGUACUUUGUUGCUUUGAACAUUUGCACCCUAAUUGCUGUUAAGCAGCAGAUGCCCAAUAAAUGUUGGUAUUACAUGUGUCCUUCCAGCAUCUGUCUUAGAUUACAUCAUCUUUGUAGGUAAACUCAUAACAUCUUAAAAGCAGCUGAUCCCCUUCAGGCAAAGUGACUUGCUGUUCCUAUUAAUCACUUUUCAUAACUCAUUGCCUUCCUCACCUAAAUUGCAGUCUCACUGACACAGUUGCCCUGGAUGUGCACCCAACAAGCCCUAUGUAAUGCUGUGCCAGCCCUGUGAAGAGGCAGGGGCGUAGGCAUCCCACAUUGCAUUGCUAUUGAUCUCAUGGCAAGUCAAACAGGAAGCCCAAAGCAAGGCAGCAGGGCAGGUAAGCAGACAGACAGAGGAAAAAACCCUGAGGCUCAGGAGAGUGGGCUGAUCGAAGAGGCGGUCACCAGGAACAGAGGAAACCCAGACCUAACUGAGGACAAUCCCAAGGCCAUUACUGCUUUGAUGGGAGCUGCAACUGCUCCACCAGCUUUCAUCUCUGUCUGCCUCCUCCUAUGUUUUCUCUUCCAUGGGCGAUGUGCUGGGGACUGGGAAGGAAGU